GCGGAGGGCCGGAUGGCCGCGGGCCCACAAGGUUCGAGGAAAGUCCGGACUCCCUGAAGCAACGGUGCCGGGUAACGCCCGGGCGGGGAAACCCGACGGAAAGCGCCACAGAAAACAGACCGCCUCCGGCCUGGCCGGGGGUAAGGGUGAAACGGUGGGGCAAGAGCCCACCGCGCCCCUGGCAACAGGGGCGGCACGGCAAGCCCCACCGGGAGCAAUGCCGAAUAGGACCCCCGCGCCGUGUUCUCUCACGAGGAUCCGGCUAGGCCCGCUUCAGCCGAGAGGGGUCGGGUUGGCAGCUUGAGGGCCGUGGCAACACGUCCCCCAGAGGAAUGGUCAUCCAAGGGGGCAACCCCUGGACAGAAUCCGGCUUACAGGCCCUCCGCGCGA
rnacentral:RNase_P_RNA from 1 species